AAAUUGAAGAGUUUGAUCAUGGCUCAGAUUGAACGCUGGCGGCAGGCCUAACACAUGCAAGUCGAGCGGAAACGACAUUAUUGAUUCUUCGGAGGAUUUAAUGGGCGUCGAGCGGCGGACGGGUGAGUAAUGCCUAGGAAAUUGCCUUGAUGUGGGGGAUAACCAUUGGAAACGAUGGCUAAUACCGCAUAAUGCCUACGGGCCAAAGAGGGGGAUCUUCGGACCUCUCGCGUCAAGAUAUGCCUAGGUGGGAUUAGCUAGUUGGUGAGGUAAUGGCUCACCAAGGCGACGAUCCCUAGCUGGUCUGAGAGGAUGAUCAGCCACACUGGAACUGAGACACGGUCCAGACUCCUACGGGAGGCAGCAGUGGGGAAUAUUGCACAAUGGGCGAAAGCCUGAUGCAGCCAUGCCGCGUGUAUGAAGAAGGCCUUCGGGUUGUAAAGUACUUUCAGUUGUGAGGAAGGGGGUAACGUUAAUAGCGUUAUCUCUUGACGUUAGCAACAGAAGAAGCACCGGCUAACUCCGUGCCAGCAGCCGCGGUAAUACGGAGGGUGCGAGCGUUAAUCGGAAUUACUGGGCGUAAAGCGCAUGCAGGUGGUUCAUUAAGUCAGAUG
rnacentral:rRNA from 1 species